rnacentral:rRNA from 1 species
UACGUAGGGGGCAAGCGUUGUCCGGAUUUAUUGGGCGUAAAGCGCGUGUAGGCGGCCAGAUAGGUCUGCUGUGAAAACUCGAGGCUCAACCUCGAGCUGUCGGCGGAAACCAUCUGGCUAGAGUCCGGAAGAGGAGAGUGGAAUUCCUGGUGUAGUGGUGAAAUGCGUAGAUAUCGGGAGGAACACCAGUGGCGAAGGCGACUUCCUGGCCUGUUCUUGACGCUGAGGCGCGAAAAGCUAGGGUAGCAAACGGG